UUAUAGUGGCUAUGUUACAUGGGAAUGAUUAAUGUUUAAUGUUUAAUUUAUUAAUGAUUAAUGUUUGCAAUAAACAUUAAUCAUUCCUGUGUAACAUAGCCACUAUAAUC